rnacentral:rRNA from 1 species
UACAGAGGGGGCAAGCGUUAUUCGGAAUUAUUGGGCGUAAAGGGCGCGUAGGCGGCUUUGCAAGUGACGGGUGAAAGCCCUCGGCUUAACCGAGGAACUGCCUGUCAGACUGUAAGGCUUGAGACCGGGAGAGGUGAGUGGAAUUCCCAGUGUAGCGGUGAAAUGCGUAGAUAUCGGGAGGAACACCAGUGGCGAAGGCGACUUCCUGGCCUGUUCUUGACGCUGAGGCGCGAAAGCUAGGGGAGCGAACAGG